GUGUAUUAUCAAAGAAGAUUCAACAUUCAAAUGACAUUCCGUGGAGCAGAUGGGUAAAAACAUAGGUUUGAAACACAGGCCAAACCUACAGAGGGUGCACAUGGUUUGUGAAAGGUGGUCAAAAGAAUAUCCAAGGAGUGCACCUGCCCCCAUCCCGAAAGACAAGGACCAGCAACAUCCUCAAAGUUUAUUCAUUAAUGAUCCUUCCGCAGGUUCACCUACGGAAA
rnacentral:misc_RNA from 1 species